rnacentral:rRNA from 1 species
AACGAACGCUGGCGGCGUGGAUAAGGCAUGCAAGUCGAGCGCGAAAGUUUCCUUCGGGGGAUGAGUAGAGCGGCUAACGGGUGAGUAACACGUGAGUAACUUGCCUCUGGGUGGGGGACAACACCGGGAAACCGGUGCUAAUACCGCAUGAAGUUGCUGGUUCGCAUGGACUGGUAACCAAAGGGGGGGAUCUUCGGACCUCCCGCCUGGAGAGAGGCUCGCGCCUGAUUAGUUAGUUGGUGAGGUAACGGCUCACCAAGACGAUGAUCAGUAGCCGGUCUGAGAGGAUGGCUGGCCACACUGGGAUUGAGAUACGGCCCAGACUCCUACGGGAGGCAGCAGUCUAGAAGCUUCGGCAAUGGGCGAAAGCCUGACCGAGCGACGCCGCGUGCAGGACGAAGGUCUUCGGGUUGUAACUGCUUUCGACAGGGAUGAACGGUAGGGUGUGAAUAGCGUUCCUAUUUGACAGUACCUGGAGAGAAGCCCCGGCUAACUCCGUGCCAGC